rnacentral:rRNA from 1 species
UACAGAGGUCCCGAGCGUUGUUCGGAUUCACUGGGCGUAAAGGGCUCGUAGGCGGCCGGCUAAGUCCGACGUGAAAUCCCCAGGCUUAACCUGGGAACUGCGUCGGAUACUGGCGGGCUUGAAUCCGGGAGAGGGAUGCGGAAUUCCAGGUGUAGCGGUGAAAUGCGUAGAUAUCUGGAGGAACACCGGUGGCGAAGGCGGCAUCCUGGACCGGCAUUGACGCUGAAUAGCGAAAGCCAGGGGAGCAAACGGG